UCUAGCAGACACACACACACUCACACAUACAUGCCCAUACUCAUAUAUACUCAUCUCCCUAGAAAAUACAGGACUCACAGAACUGAAGACAGCACCUGCCCAAGUUACACACUAUUCUGAAGCUAAGAUCACUUCAAUACUCAGAAACACAGAAGUUCCCAGAAGUCCUUGUAAUUCUGCUGAUGGCUUUCAGAGCCUUGCUUGUUCUUCAUACCAGAGCAUCAGUUUUCUCUUUGACUUAAGGUAGAUUUUCAUGUUUUAAACAUAUAUCCCUCCCAGUACACUAUUGGAUUAAUAAGUACAAAAUAUUUUUUACUAUGUAUAUGACCACACACUUACCAUAUGAUCACAUGAUUGCUGGCUAUUGGUUCUUUAUCGACAAAAUAAUCUCAAUGGUCAUCUAACUUCCUUAUCCCAGAGGCUAUGAUGGCCCUUGGGUGUGAAUUUGAACUCAGUGAGUCUGCUGCAUGUCUGUGUAACUCACAGUGUUCUAACCAAUAUGAUUAUUCCCAGGAGGUGACAAAGUGAGAAGGAAGGAGAAGGUUGGAGAUUCAGGAAGGCACUGAUAGUCCUCUGCACACAACAGCCAAGUAUGACUCUGAGAGGAACACCGGAGAGCGAUUCCUGAUCCUCCAAGUUUAGAUGAGACUCUGAGACUUCAGGGUCAUACUUGUGAGCCAUGUUGGUAUGCUUGUUAGAUCUGACUGUAGUUCCUCCAUGCCAGCGUCUCAUUGUACUAGCCCUAGAGGUCAAGGACUAGCAUGUACUAGUCUGCAGUGUCCGACCUCUUCCUUGUACACAGAAAGCUUCCUAAAUGUGAGGAGCUGGUGGUGGUGAAAAAGAGCAGAUGGGAAUAAACACAAGGGGAGGGUUAGGUUUCCCAAAAGAGUCACAGAGUGUUGGUCCAUGGCAAUGAGAAGUGUUGGAGAGGACAUGAUAGAGUCAAAGUUGACAGAUUUAGAGCUUAGAUAUGUUUUCUGAGGAUAUAAUUGACUUAAGAUACUUCUUUCAUUGAAGGAAAUCUGAUCAUCCUGGUAUCAAGGAUGUGUGCAGCCAGGUUAAAAACCAACAUAUCAUCAUUCUCUUUCUUGGUCCAUGGAUGCAGGAGAAAAGCAUUGCUCCCAGCCAGGCAAAUCGCAGCAGAUAGAGACUGUCAGCAACGUGAGCCAAGUCCACAUCAAAGGAAGGAGAGACUGGGGGAGUAUAGGAGCUGAUGCAGGAGGUACAAGCAGACAUCUGUCCUUACUACAGUGAGGAGAGAGCAACCCAGAGAAAGAGCUAAAAAUGAAGCUCAAGAGAUGGACUGCUGUCCCUCCAUCCUGUCCAUCUGCAAACUAUAAACUCUCCUUCACAUGAAUCUAUUUCACAAUUUCAUCCCUCUGCUUCAGCUGAGAAACUGAAAUUCUUCAAGGAAUUUCACGAGUUCUGGUGAUACCUCAGUUGUCCUUUCAGCUUUCGAUUUGCAGCCAUCUAAAUGUCUCUCCCUGCUGACAGUUCCAUAUCGCCCACUCACAUAAAAAGACUCACCAGGAGAAUAAACCAUGUCUUCUCUUGUCAAUGGUAAUUUGUAUUUACUGUGUGAUCUUCAGGUUGGCUUUCCUGGGUCAAAAAUAACUUGUUGUUUUUUUUUUGUUUUUUCCACCCUCUGUGUUUAGCUUGGAAAGACUUGUAGAUUUUGAAGUUCAGCUUUUUCUGUAAGAUGUAUAAGAAUGAUGAAACUUUAUUCUUCUUAAACCAGCCAGCUUUCCCAUCUUAAGGUGGCACAAUCUAUGGUUUGUUUGACCCAAGUUCUCAUGGAAAGACCACUACUUUCAUUUUGACAGUCUUAUUUUGUGAGAGGUAGAAAUGAAAAACAUCUUUAAGAAAUGUUCUGUUUCUCCAUCCCCCGAUUCCCUACACACAGCCCCUAGAUCAAUGCUUGCUGUCCAUAUAAAAACCACAUUUUAAAAGAACAUGCAAGUUAUGUUAGUGAUGUCUUAACCGAUCAAAUGCUUACGCUCCAGCCAUCACAACAGGUCCCAUGACCUUUAGUGAAGCCCAAUGUGGCAUCAGAAUCAGCUCUGGUCAGCCUUUCUUUGUUACUUUAGCAUUUUCUUCUAAUCAGCCUAGAGCGAUGUGCUCAGAGCACCUUUCAUUUCUGCCUUUGAAAUCCUAACAAACGGCCGAGGGUACAUUUUACAACAUGACGAGUGUUAUUUCACAGUGUUUCACUAGCCACAAUCCUCAAGUCACAGUUAAGAACUCCAGAUGCCUGGCUGCGGGAGUUGUUGCAGCUGUUUUGUGGAAAAUCAUGAAAGUGCACCUCGUUUGGACAAAAAAGAGAACAUAUCUCAUCCCUACAGAUUUGUAGCAGAUGUCUCCUCCGUAACAGUGUUAACAAUGUGUACUCUCGCUGUGAACCUGAAUUCAGAUACUUCAGGUGUCUUGUAAUUUGUCAAAUGCUUUGGUUUUUCCUGGGAGGGCAGAUUCUCUUUUGGACUGGCUAUGACAUGCUCUGAAGUUACUUUUUUCUUCCUGAUAGUUGAAGUAUGAAAUUGGACCGAAAGAAAUUCUCUUCUGUGCACGUCAUUGGUUUGAUGUAUGAGAUGAGGUUGCACACUGUUUUGUGUAGUCAACACCACUUGAAGGCAGUCAUAUUGUUGUAUCCAGAAUGUAAUGCCCGGAACCCUCCAGAGUGGCAAAAGUGCACAGAUGUUGCAGUCCUUAGACGAUAAAGAGGAGAAGAGGUUGCACAGGACCUGCACACACACCCCUGACCACUUGGAGUCACUUCUGGGUUAUUUCCAUUUCCUAUCCAUGGAAGUGGCUGUGUAAUGAAUCACUCAGGAAAUAAUAAUCACAAAAGCUUGUUUCUGCUUCUCAGUGCAGAUGAAAUUUUAUUUUUUAAAUACUUUUCAAAUAACAGUGGUUAAACCCACAGGUGUGGAACCUACAGGCACAGGUGGUGAACUGUUUAAACUAAUAACAAAGUCACAACCUUCUUGUCUUAGGAUCACAAUCAUUUUAAAAAAUAUUUCUCCAUUUAAAAAAGUCAUAUACUUUAGGAUAUUAUAUCUGUUUACUGAUAUCAUAUACUCAAACACAAUUUUGACAAUAAACAGCCCCACCUUGUAAAUUUUGUAAGUAAAGUAUUUUACUUGUAUUUGCUGUGGUUAAAGUACUCACUCACUGAGGUCCCUGUGCUAAAGACCUGGACCAUAAGCAGUGACAUUAUUGGAAGAUGGUGGGAAGCUUGAAGAGAUGGGUAAAGUGAGGAGUCUUCUGGCCCUGACAGGGUACCGUUGAGGGGGUAUUGAGGCCCAGCCCCCACUCUCUUCUUUCACAUCCCAUCUAUGGGGUGAAUGGUUUUGCCAUUGUGCUGUCUCUCCACAGGUGCAGAUGGAGUGGGGCCGCCCUAGCACAGUCUGACACCUACAACACUGUGAGACUAAACAACUCUUCUUUCUACAAACUUGUGUUUAUCAAGUGCCUGUCACAAUAACCUGUCUUCAUUGUGGGGUGGAGACAUGUUUCUUACGGCCAUUCCUUCUGAUAAAAUUAGUAAGAAAAUGUUGAAACUGGAGAUUUAAGACUCUGAUGUGUUACAAUAGUUCACGUUGCUAGGAUCUUGACUGAAAAGUCAAGGUGAGAAUGACUUCAGUGGUAGAGUAAUGAAAACUGAAUUCCAGAGAGGGAGAAACAGUUUCAAGAUGUUGGUGACAUCAUCUAAAGUUGGCCGAGUCUUAAAUCUUCCCAGUUGAGAUUGCUAAGGCCUGGGUAUCCAAAAUUCCAUCAGUGCUGAGAAUUCCUUCAUUAGAUUAGAAGUUAAGCCAGAGGGCUGGGAGCAUGUCUCAGGUGACAGAACACUUGCUUAGCAUGCUCAAAGCUGUGGGCUGGAUCUCCAGCACAACAUAAAUGGGGCACAGGGUGUGGGCCUCUAAUCCCAGCAUUAGAGAGGCAGAGACACGAGGAUGAGGAAAAUCCAAGGUUACCCAGGACUACUUAGCAAGUUUGAGGCCAGGCUGGGAAACAUGAGACCCUGCCUCAAAAAUCAAACAAGUAAACAAAUAAAUCCUUCUUCAUUCUGUCAUUUGCCUCCCGCUUACGCUGUAUAAACUCAGGUUUAUGGACCUCAGGAUGGCUUCACCAACCCCCACCCCCACAAUGUUAUAAACCAAAAAACUUGCAUCCACCUUGGAAAGAUGGAUCCACCUUGCAUCCAUCUGGAUAAAGUCAACAGGCAUAGCCGGGAUUUUGGAGUCAUGAGACUGUGCCCCAAGGUGGAGCAGAACCCAGGUUCAGAGCCAACCAACUGUGGAUUGAAAAUAGUUCUGAAAAGUUAGUACUGGGGAAUAGGCUUGGAGGAGAGCUGUGGAGAGUCAGCCUGAUGCGUGUGUUGGAAAGUCAACAGAAACCUAGUCUCAAAAUAAGGCUAAUGGUCUGGAUGAAAAAGUAGAACUGCAGCCUCUGCACCAGCUCCUGCCUCCAGG